CUUAACACAUGCAAGUCGAACGGACAAAUUAGAGGAAGCUUGCGAAUCUGAUUUGUUAGUGGCGGACGGGUGAGUAACGCGUGGGUAACCUACCCUAAAGACCGGGACAACACCGGGAAACUGGUGCUAAUACCGGAUGUGCUCAAGAACAGGCAUCUGUUUUUGAGGAAAGGUGGCCUCUGAACAUGCUACCGUUUUAGGAUGGACCCGCGUCUGAUUAGCUAGUUGGUAAGGUAGUGGCUUACCAAGGCGACGGUCGGAGGCCGGCCUGCGAGGGUGACCGGCCACACUGGGACUGAGACACGGCCCAGACUCCUACGGGAGGCAGCAGUGGGGAAUUUUGGACAAUGGGCGCAAGCCUGAUCCAGCAAUGCCGCGUGUGUGAAGAAGGCCUUCGGGUUGUAAAGCACUUUUGGCAGGAAAGAAAUAGUGCGUGCUAAUACCAUGCGCGAAUGACGGUACCUGCAGAAUAAGCACCGGCUAACUACGUGCCAGCAGCCGCCGUAAUAC
rnacentral:rRNA from 1 species